rnacentral:lncRNA from 1 species
CCUACUUUCAGGGAAGCGAAGCGUGUAUAUAGUCAGUUGACCCAAGUAUCCUAUGAAGCAGACGAGAAGGAAACCUUACAAAGCAACCAAGAGGACAUAGUAUCAAUUCCCAAUACUAUAAGAAAUAGCAGCCCACCUUUGAGAAAAGGGAACAUGGAUGAGUUGGAUCACAAAGAUAAAGCUGAAACCUUUUCAAUUAAACAAAAUGAUAAACUCCCCAUUUCGAUUGACGGAGAGAGUGAGAAUGAGCUAUGUGAUAAAUCAACUCCUUUACAUCAAGCAGCUCAUAGUGAUGAUUCUGAAAAGGUUAUGGAACUCCUGGAACAGGGCUUGGAUCCUUGCAUCAAAGAUGAAAGGGGCCGUACUCCAUACAUGUUGGCACAUGAGAAGGAAGUCAGAAAUGCUUUUAGAAGGUUUAUGGCAUCAAACCCCGACAAAUGGGAUUGGCAUGCUGCAAAAGUGCCUAGUGCAUUGACCAAAGAAAUGGAAGAAUCACAAGCUGCAAAGCAGGUGAUUCUGAUACUUGUAGCGAUAAGUUUUAAAUUCUGAUCUAAACCGAAAAUGAUUACAUUUUAAUAUCCACAUCAUUCUCUUUACUUUGGUCACUAGCUGAUUUUAUGACGUGUAGUAAAAGAGAGUCUCCUUCGUAUCAGGUAAAACUGAUUUUUGAGUAAGUUUCCUGCUGGUUCCCAUUAGGCAUGAUGCAUUUCAGUUUCUGAUGCUGCUAGUUGUCUUGAUAUGUAUAUCAUGAUGCUUACAACAUGAGAUGGAAAAAGGAUAUUACUUAUCUCGUAAAUACACUUGGAUGUGUAAAAAAAAUGCUUACUUGCCCUUGUUUUUUGUCUUGUGUUGCAUGAGCAUUUGGGCUCAAGGUAAUUAUUUCUGUACUAAUUAAUGACAUAACCAAUUUUUUUAGGAAGUUCAAGAACUGUUUGCUGCUUGGCGACAUUAUUUUGAUGCUUCCAAUUGCAUUUUUAUACACGCACCUUCAAGCAGUCGUCUACUACUUUAUGAUGGAGAAAGAUCAUACUUUACCAAUCAGCAGUCUGCCAUUAGAAAUAUUCCUUUGACUGUUCGGCGGCCUACUUUCAGGGAAGCGAAGCGUGUAUAUAGUCAGUUGACCCAAGUAUCCUAUGAAGCAGACGAGAAGGAAACCUUACAAAGCAACCAAGAGGACAUAGUAUCAAUUCCCAAUACUAUAAGAAAUAGCAGCCCACCUUUGAGAAAAGGGAACAUGGAUGAGUUGGAUCACAAAGAUAAAGCUGAAACCUUUUCAAUUAAACAAAAUGAUAAACUCCCCAUUUCGAUUGACGGAGAGAGUGAGAAUGAGCUAUGUGAUAAAUCAACUCCUUUACAUCAAGCAGCUCAUAGUGAUGAUUCUGAAAAGGUUAUGGAACUCCUGGAACAGGGCUUGGAUCCUUGCAUCAAAGAUGAAAGGGGCCGUACUCCAUACAUGUUGGCACAUGAGAAGGAAGUCAGAAAUGCUUUUAGAAGGUUUAUGGCAUCAAACCCCGACAAAUGGGAUUGGCAUGCUGCAAAAGUGCCUAGUGCAUUGACCAAAGAAAUGGAAGAAUCACAAGCUGCAAAG